AGUGAACGCUGACGGUAGGCCUAACACAUGCAAGUCGAACGGCAGCACAGUAAGAGCUUGCUCUUACGGGUGGCGAGUGGCGGACGGGUGAGGAAUACAUCGGAAUCUACUUUUUCGUGGGGGAUAACGUAGGGAAACUUACGCUAAUACCGCAUACGACCUACGGGUGAAAGCAGGGGAUCUUCGGACCUUGCGCGAUUGAAUGAGCCGAUGUCGGAUUAGCUAGUUGGCGGGGUAAAGGCCCACCAAGGCGACGAUCCGUAGCUGGUCUGAGAGGAUGAUCAGCCCAACUGGAACUGGGACACGGUCCAGACUCCUACGGGAGGCAGCAGUGGGGAAUAUUGGACAAUGGGGGCAAGCCUGAUCCAGCCAUACCGCGUGGGUGAAGAAGGCCUUCGGGUUGUAAAGCCCUUUUGUUGGGAAAGAAAAGCAGCAGGUUAAUACCCCGCUGUUCUGACGGUACCCAAAGAAUAAGCACCGGCUAACUUCGUG
rnacentral:rRNA from 1 species